rnacentral:rRNA from 1 species
AAGACCUUACCUGGCCUUGACAUCCACGGAACUUUCCAGAGAUGGAUUGGUGCCUUUGGGAACCGUGAGACAGGUGGUGCAUGGCUGUUGUCAGCUCGUGUUGUGAGAUGUUGGGUUAAGUCCCGCAACGAGCGCAACCCUUGUCCUUAGUUGCCAGCACGUUAUGGUGGGAACUUUAAGGAGACCGCCGGUGACAAACCGGAGGAAGGUGGGGAUGACGUCAAGUUAUCAUG